GUUUUUAAUUUAUGAGGAAUAUGUACAGGUCAAGAAUGAUGAUGAAAAACCUUCCAUCCAACCCCUAAAUUGUAAGAGGGUAGAAAAUGGCCAAAUUUCCUCCUUCUGACCUUUGUUCUUCACUCAUCCACAAAAGAUUAUUUCACCUCAGCUAAAAUCUUGAUCUUGCUCCCACUUCAAACUUUGUCUUCGUAGGUAUGUCUUCCUCCUUUCUUCCCCUUUCUCUAUUUUCCUUUACACGCUGAUCCUUGAAUAUGCAAAAAGUGAGGGGCUUUGUGGUGGUGCUAUAGGGAAAGAAUAGUUUUCUUUGAACUUGCAGCUGUUGGCAGAACUAUUAGACAAGUGACUCUCAAUGGGUACCCCAGCCACUUACGAUGUCAGAGUAGCAAUUAUUGCAUGGUUGUCAGAGGCUACUGCCUCUGGGGCAGGGUGGCUAACCUUUCCCGAGCGGCCUGCUCUACCCUGAAGUCAGUGUAUUAGAUGUUCCAUCGAGACUUCUACUAUAACACUAUAAUCUUGGGAAACUUGUAACAUCAGAAAUUUCAUGCAACACCUCAUUUUAGGGUGAAGAACUAAAGGAGAAAAUCAUGCAUCAGUUUUUAAUUGUGCGUUUGCUUUCUAGGUCUGAUUUUAUUCAGAACAACAGAAUCAAACCAGGAAUGUAUUUUUUUUCUCCUUAGUGCAAAGAGAAAACAGUCUUAUUAAUGUUGCCAAGCAAUUGAAAAAGGUCUACUGUUUAGAGAGAAGAUGCUCAAGACAGAGGAGGAGGCAGAGGUGAAUAGAUGAGCUGUGUUAGAUGGUAUUUUUGAGGAUAUCAUUAAUGAGGAUGAUGUAUAAAUAAGGAAGUGGCUGAAAUUGAUCUAAGUUCAUUUUAGCUUCUUUGGGAACACCUUAAAAAGUAUCAUUGUUUAUCAGGCGGAAAAGAAAAGUCGAUAGUGAAAGAGAAGCUUAUCUUUUGUAGAGUAUAAACUAUUACAAAGAAUAAAGAGGAAUUAAAACUAUCUUGUUAGAGUACCUUUAGAAAUGCCCAAGUCUUGACAUUCUGAUUAUUUCAAAAAGCACUGAAAAGACACAAACAUGCAAAAAAGGAUGCCUUUUUAUUCUUUUAGCAUUUCUUUUUUUUUUUUUUUUUUUAGACAGGAAGCAGGAUUUAUUGGUGGGCAUGAAUGGGGAAGGGCAGUGCUGAAGUUCUCAUGAGUAAAGAGCCCGCCAUUUGUCCAAGGGGCCAUGAUUAGAAAGAGCACACGUCUGACUUCAACUCAGGUCAUGAUCU